CCUAACUGAUUACCAAUAAAAAUCAGUGACUUGGACUGGCCAGAACCUUUGUUGGUUGCACAGGCAUUGGUCGUCCUGGAGCCCCACUUUCUGUCUCUUUUAGUUCUGUCUUUUAGAUUUUUUUUCUCAGGCCUGCGUCAUACACUUCUCAGGAGACUGGAUCCUACUGCAAAGAGUUUUGAAUUUUCCAUUUAAUUUUGGAUCAUGGUAGACUGUGGGCAGCUGAAACUGAAGAAAGCAAAACCAUGGAUAAAGACAGACAAGUAACUGUAAGUGUACAGGAUGCCUGAGAUCUAACAGACAAGUCAGAAUGGAGCAGGACUAACCAUUACUAUGCCAGAUGAUUGGUGGAUUAUCAGACUGAGAAUUACCUGAUUGAAGCCGCAGAGUGAAGAAGAGAAACCGAAAGAAAAAUGAAAUAGGAGUCGGCACAACUGUGGUUUACAAAUGAUCAUUCUCCAACAUUCAGCUUCUCACUCCCUUAGGUUUUAUUUCUCUUUUGCUCUACACUCAGAGAAUUUCUGGGCUCCAUAAUCCAUGGCCACUGAUGCUGCUUUUGGAGGUAGCAGCUUGCUUUACCUUACUUAUUUUCAAAUCUCAGAGAUCUUUUUAAAGUGGUUGUUCAGCUUUUUCCUCUACUGGAAAAAUGCUGGCAACAUCUCUGACUUUGUUGUUAAAAUGGGGGUAAAGAUAGAUAUCCUGAGGAUCCGUUUGUGAGAUGAGGGAUAUACUUAGGUGAAUCAAAAUAAAGAGAAAACAGAAAGAAA